GUGCUCGCUUCGGCAGCACAUAUACUAAAAUUGGAAUGAUACAGGGAAGAUUAGCAUGGCCCCUGCACAAGGAUGACAUGUAAAUUUGUGAAGUGUUCCCUUUUUUU
ensembl:snRNA U6 U6 spliceosomal RNA